UUAGAGAUAAGAUGUUAUCCUUAAAUGAGUAGAUAGAAAGAACAAUACAGCAGACCCAUUCACUAAGGCCACACUGAAGCGAAAUUUAGUGCAGGCAUAAAAUGGUAAUUUUAAAACAUUUUUAAAAUCACUAUUUUGUAGCAAAAAUUAUUAACUAAUCUAAUUAAUUAACAUAUAUUUACCCUACACAAGGAUCUAAAUAUGAUA
rnacentral:lncRNA from 1 species